CGGUGACGCUUUCAGCUGCAACAUUGAGAAGGUGUUCCUCUGCACUGGUGCCGAUGAGUAUAUGCCCAAGUACAGCCCAAUCAGGAAUACAGGUGCUUGGCUGAUUCACCCUCCUCUUGUACAGAUUCGAGAGCCUUGAUAAAGAUCAACCUAAGACACCAGCAAGAGCCUUUGGAAACCUGGAGUUUCACACUACAUUAGCAGCUGAUCACGCAGAUGCUUUUCCUCUAAUAAAACAGCCCCAUUCUCAUGGUGUCAACCUGUCAUCUGCGCCACUUUUCCAGGUGGCAGCUGGCAGAGAAUGGUGCGUUUGCACUAUUUACACACUCCAGUGGAAGGAAAAUGCACACAGGCACAAUGGCAAAAGAAGUCUUGACCACCACGUGUUAUAGGAGUGAGCACCACAGCCUUUAAAGGCAACGGAAGAGCCAACGCAGAUGCCCUGGUCUCGAGGAGAUUGGAGCAGAUAAAAACAGGGGCACGAAUAUCCAGUAUAUUGCACCUGACCAUACUGACAAAGCUGUCAUCAUCCACAAAAACUUUUGAUGCUUUUUUUUUUUGAAAAGCAAGUUUUUCUUUAAUGUUUUGAACACACGCAGCUGUAAAUGUGCCUUAUAUCCACCAUAAAAGGUUGGUGCUGGUUUUGAUGAUGUGUACACUA